AUACAAUUUUUGUUCAUACUAUGCUGAACUUCAAAGGAAAGUGUUCUUUAGAGAAGCAAGUGGAAGCAAAACCCCCAUUUUUUUGUGAAGAGGGAGGAAAAUUAUCAGAAUAACUGAUAUCUUUUUUUGGAUACUUUUUCAUAUGCUGCCUUAAUUGCUUGAAGAGAUUAAAUAUAUACGAAUGAGCAGAAAAGAACAUUUGUGUUUAAGGUUAUAGAAUAAAAUGGAAAUCUAAGUGCAAACAUUUUGCUGAAGUAUCAUCUUAUGUAAUCUUUUGGAUUCUACUUAUCAAUGCAGUUACGAAACCUAUCCACAAGGCUGAUGGAUGCUAAUUGUCAAGAGAGGAUUAGGGCACAAAACUGGCAGAAAUGAGUAAACAGAUACAGGACCUGCUCAGGGAAUUCAGAUCUACCAGGCCUGCUACUGCCUAGUCCACUUCUCUGAAGUCAGCUCUACCCACUGAGCUACAGCUUGGUCAGGUUCCAUAAAGUCAGCUCCACAGAGAAUGGGUUCAUUUUGACACAGCCAGCUCUUCACAGGUUCCAGAGAGUCUUUGAGUGGGAGAACUCAGUGCAAAGAGAAUAUUUCUUUGGAGGGUCUCUACUUGCUGGCAGAACCCUGACUUCUGUUGCUGAAUUUGGGCAUCUCUGCACCUGAACAUAUGCACAGUAAUUCAUAAAGACCAGGGACAGAGCAUAAGAACAGCAGUUAUAGAGCUUAAAAGAAAGCACCUAAUAAUGUAUCCAAAAAAAGCAUGAUGGUAAAAAUACAACUGCACUUACAAAGAAGAAAAACCAAUGACAAACAAUCAAAGGAAUGUUGUGAACUGAAAAAUAAACUUCUGUCUGCAAAUUUUGUGCUUGCUCUUGUUACAAAUAACAUUAAAAUUACUAUAAUUGAAAGAA